rnacentral:rRNA from 1 species
AUUGAACGCUGGCGGCAGGCCUAACACAUGCAAGUCGAACGAGUGGCGGACGGGUGAGUAAUGUCUGGGAACCUGCCUGAUGGAGGGGGAUAACUACUGGAAACUGUAGCUAAUACCGCAUACCAUCAGAUGUGCCCAGAUGGGAUUAGCUUGUUGGUGGGGUAACGGCUCACCAAGGCGACGAUCCCUAGCUGGUCUGAGAGGAUGACCAGCCACACUGGAGCUGAGGCACGGACCAGACUCCUACGGGAGGCAGCAGUGGGGAAUAUUGGACAAUGGGCGGAAGCCUGAUGCAGCCAUGCCGGGUGUGUGAAGAAGGCCUUCGGGUUGUGAAGUACUUUCCGCGGGGAAGCGUUACCCGCAGAAGAAGCACCGGCUAACUCCGUGCCAGCAGCCGCGGUAAUAC